UCUUGAGAGCGGCGGACGGGUGAGUAAUGCCUAGGAAUCUGCCUGGUAGUGGGGGAUAACGUCCGGAAACGGACGCUAAUACCGCAUACGUCCUACGGGAGAAAGCAGGGGACCUUCGGGCCUUGCGCUAUCAGAUGAGCCUAGGUCGGAUUAGCUAGUUGGUGGGGUAAUGGCUCACCAAGGCGACGAUCCGUAACUGGUCUGAGAGGAUGAUCAGUCACACUGGAACUGAGACACGGUCCAGACUCCUACGGGAGGCAGCAGUGGGGAAUAUUGGACAAUGGGCGAAAGCCUGAUCCAGCCAUGCCGCGUGUGUGAAGAAGGUCUUCGGAUUGUAAAGCACUUUAAGUUGGGAGGAAGGGCAGUUGCCUAAUACGUAACUGUUUUGACGUUACCGACAGAAUAAGCACCGGCUAACUCUGUGCCAGCAGCCGCGGUAAUACAGAGGGUGCAAGCGUUAAUCGGAAUUACUGGGCGUAAAGCGCGCGUAGGUGGUUUGUUAAGUUGGAUGUGAAAUCCCCGGGCUCAACCUGGGAACUGCAUUCAAAACUGACUGACUAGAGUAUGGUAGAGGGUGGUGGAAUUUCCUGUGUAGCGGUGAAAUGCGUAGAUAUAGGAAGGAACACCAGUGGCGAAGGCGACCACCUGGACUAAUACUGACA
rnacentral:rRNA from 3 species